AACGAACGCUGGCGGCAUGCCUAACACAUGCAAGUCGAACGAGACCUUCGGGUCUAGUGGCGCACGGGUGCGUAACGCGUGGGAACCUGCCCUUAGGUUCGGAAUAACUCCCCGAAAGGGGUGCUAAUACCGGUUAAUGUCUUCGGACCAAAGAUUUAUCGCCUUUGGAUGGGCCCGCGUUGGAUUAGCUAGUUGGUAGGGUAAAAGCCUACCAAGGCGACGAUCCAUAGCUGGUCUGAGAGGAUGAUAAGCCACACUGGGACUGCGACACGGCCCAGACUCCUACGGGAGGCAGCAGUGGGGAAUAUUGGACAAUGGGCGAAAGCCUGAUCCAGCAAUGCCGCGUGAGUGAUGAAGGCCUUAGGGUUGUAAAGCUCUUUUACCCGGGAUGAUAAUGACAGUACCGGGAGAAUAAGCUCCGGCUAACUCCGUG
rnacentral:rRNA from 1 species